rnacentral:lncRNA from 1 species
GUGUUUAGAGACUUCGGGUCCCUGACUCGCCUCCAGCAGUGGAGACAGGUCAUCGGUCUGGUCUGCGUGGGCUUCUGGGAAUGUUUCAGGGGCAGGGAGAGCGCGCUUUUUUUUUUCUGUUGUUCGCUAGCGCGUGAGGUCCGUGUUGCGGGGAGCUCUCGGGGAGUCCUCGCUCGGAGUUCGUUUCGCAGUCGUGUUGGAGUUCCCAGAGUCUGGGAGCCCAUGGUCUCCGCAUUGGAACCAGUGCUUGGGAGGUCUUCGUUGCACAGUAGCGCUAGGGCGUCGUGGUGGGGAAGCGAAUCGUUUGAGCAUUUUUGUCAUCUGCAAAUAAUUUUAGCCAGGUGGCAAGUGUAUGGACUGUGGAGUAAGAAGUACCUGCCUCUGCCUCUGACUUGGGUUCUGGCCUAUAGGAACAAGACAUUUUCAGUAAUGGAAGAAGGAGCUUCCAGGCUGGGGAAGAUCAUCAUUUCCAGUGGUAGCUUGACCUGAGAUGAUACCUGACCACCACUUCUGGGAAGGCCCAGAAUAGACAGAAGAGAGAGAACAUACUAGAGUU